GACGUAGGGCGCGAGCGUUGUCCGGAUUUAUUGGGCGUAAAGAGCUCGUAGGCGGCUUGUCGCGUCGGCUGUGAAAACCCGCGGCUCAACUGUGGGCGGGCAGCUGAUACGGGCAGGCUGGAGUUCGGGAGGGGAGACUGGAAUUCCUGGUGUAGCGGUGAAAUGCGCAGAUAUCGGGAGGAACACCUAUGGCGAAGGCAGCUCGCUGGGACGUUACUGACGCUGAGACGCGAAAGCGUGGGGAGCAAACAGG
rnacentral:rRNA from 1 species